UUAGUGGCGGACGGGUGAGUAACGCGUGGGCGAACCUGCCUUACACAGGGGGAGUAACACUUAGAAAUAGGUGCUAAAACCGCAUAAGCGCACAGCUUCGCAUGAAGCGGUGUGAAAAACUCCGGUGGUGUAAGAUGGACCCGCGUCUGAUUAGCUUGUUGGCGGGGUAACGGCCCACCAAGGCGACGAUCAGUAGCCGGCCUGAGAGGGCGGACGGCCACAUUGGGACUGAGACACGGCCCAGACUCCUACGGAAGGCAGCAG
rnacentral:rRNA from 1 species